AGGAUGAACGCUAGCUACAGGCUUAACACAUGCAAGUCGAGGGCAGCAUGGGAGUGCUGCAACUUCCGAUGGCGACCGGCGCACGGGUGAGUAACGCGUAUCCAACCUGGCCCUUAGUAGGGAACAGCCCGGCGAAAGUCGGAUUAAUGCCCUAUGUUUUCCAAUGAUGGCAUCUGACUUGGAACAAAGAUUCAUCGCUAAGGGAUGGGGAUGCGUCUGAUUAGCUUGUCGGCGGGGUAACGGCCCACCGAGGCGACGAUCAGUAGGGGUUCUGAGAGGAAGGUCCCCCACAUUGGUACUGAGACACGGACCAAACUCCUACGGGAGGCAGCAGUGAGGAAUAUUGGUCAAUGGGCGUAAGCCUGAACCAGCCAAGUAGCGUGCAAGGACCUGACUGCCCUAUGGGUUGUAAACUGCUUUUAUGCGGGAAUAAAGUCAGGUACGCGUACCUGUUUGUAUGUACCGCAUGAAUAAGGACCGGCUAAUUCCGUGCCAGCCGCGGC
rnacentral:rRNA from 1 species